rnacentral:tRNA from 1 species
UGGGAAAUCGUCUAAUGGUAGGACAACAGAUUCUGGUUCUGUUUAUCUUGGUUCGAAUCCAGGUUUCCCAGCCA